CGCAGGGCAGUGAGACUCCCUCAUUGUGCAGUGAGCAACUAGAUCAUUCAACAUCUUCAACCUGCACACAAGAGAAGAGCAAAAAGAGCUCAGUGAAUCUUCAGUGUAACGGAAUCUGGAGACUCUGAGGAACAAGUUGUGUAACUACAAACCCCCUGAGGGCUAUGGAAACUCCUGUAUAAACAUCCUGCUCGUCGGCCUGGUGGGGGCUGGGAAAUCAUCCACCAUCAACACCUUCCUCUUGGCUCUGGAUCCAGAAGGGACAACCAUAACCUGUGUCCCGACGGGGAUGAAUCCCCGGUCUCUCACAAAAGAGCUCAGGUCCUACGGAGCAGGGGGUUUAAAGUUCUGGGAUUCAUCUGGAUGGAAUGCUCUGGCAAACAUGGAUCGGACAAAGAGAGUGUUACAGAUGAUCCUGGAAGGGAGAGUUCCCAAAGGAACAAACUUUGAGAUGUUGGCAGAACGUACUGGGAUGGAGAGGCGUUUCAUGUUUGUGGUUUCGAAUCAGUGGAGAGGUGGAAAGAUCGAGAUGAUAAAAUGCAUCCUGGCCCUGUAUGUUCUGGAUAAUAUGGUCAGAAACAUUGACCGAUUUCUCAAAGCAGUGCAAUGAUCACAGCUGACCUUGUCCAGUGCUGUGAAUCCAAUCCAUUUUCAGGAGCAUGGACACUGCUGUGGGAUUGAUGUUUUUAUUGUUUCCCCUGUAGUUUUAGCAUUCUUUAUGCUUGCUUAUAUAUUUGUAUAAAUCACCUGUCUGUAGACUUUUAGUAACGUUGUAUAAUCAGUUCUAUUCUUCUCUAGUUUUUUCCCAUGCAAAGCUGAAGGGUGAAUCAGUUUCUCAAAUAAACUGGCCCAGACCACUGGGCAGGAUGAAGGCAAACCACGUGCUCAUGGUCCUUUGUUACAGCCGGUCACUGCUAGAGUUGUUUAUAGUUUCAGUGGUCACAAUUACAGCCAGUCACUGUUGCAGUCAGUCACAGUUACAGCAGUCACAGUCAUUUCAUAGCUUGU